rnacentral:rRNA from 1 species
CCCAGUAGCGGCGAGCGAACGGGGAGCAGCCCAGAGCCUGAAUCAGUAUGUGUGUUAGUGGAAGCGUCUGGAAAGGCGCGCGAUACAGGGUGACAGCCCCGUACACAAAAAUGCACAUGCUGUGAGCUCGAUGAGUAGGGCGGGACACGUGGUAUCCUGUCUGAAUAUGGGGGGACCAUCCUCCAAGGCUAAAUACUCCUGACUGACCGAUAGUGAACCAGUACCGUGAGGGAAAGGCGAAAAGAACCCCGGCGAGGGGAGUGAAAAAGAACCUGAAACCGUGUACGUACAAGCAGUGGGAGCACGCUUAGGCGUGUGACUGCGUACCUUUUGUAUAAUGGGUCAGCGACUUAUAUUCUGUAGCAAGGUUAACCGAAUAGGGGAGCCGAAGGGAAACCGAGUCUUAACUGGGCGUUAAGUUGCAGGGUAUAGACCCGAAACCCGGUGAUCUAGCCAUGGGCAGGUUGAAGGUUGGGUAACACUAACUGGAGGACCGAACCGACUAAUGUUGAAAAAUUAGCGGAUGACUUGUGGCUGGGGGUGAAAGGCCAAUCAAACCGGGAGAUAGCUGGUUCUCCCCGAAAGCUAUUUAGGUAGCGCCUCGUGAAUUCAUCUCCGGGGGUAGAGCACUGUUUCGGCAAGGGGGUCAUCCCGACUUACCAACCCGAUGCAAACUGCGAAUACCGGAGAAUGUUAUCACGGGAGACACACGGCGGGUGCUAACGUCCGUCGUGAAGAGGGAAACAACCCAGACCGCCAGCUAAGGUCCCAAAGUCAUGGUUAAGUGGGAAACGAUGUGGGAAGGCCCAGACAGCCAGGAUGUUGGCUUAGAAGCAGCCAUCAUUUAAAGAAAGCGUAAUAGCUCACUGGUCGAGUCGGCCUGCGCGGAAGAUGUAACGGGGCUAAACCAUG